rnacentral:lncRNA from 1 species
AUCAAGCCUGGGCAAUGGCGGGCGCCCCUCCCCCAGCCUGGCUGCCGCCUUGCAGUUUGAUCUCAGACUGCUGUGCUAGCAAUCAGGGAGACUCCGUGGGCGUAGGACCCUCCGAGCCAGGUGUUACCGUGAGAAAAUAUCUUGAACUUCUACUCUGUUGGAGACUUAUUAAAUGAAGAAACCACACAGCUUCCAACUCUGCAGUAGAUCUUGGGCUGUAACUGAUAUUCAACAUUACCAUCCUUGUUGUAAACUGAAUGUCAUAUCCCUCAAAAUUCAUAUGUUGAACCCCUAACUUCCCCUGUGAUGGCAUUUAGAGGACGAGCCUUUGGGGCAUAGUUAAGUUUAGAUAAGAUCAUAGAGGUGGGGGCCCCAUGGUGGAAUUGCUCUCCUUAUAAGAAGUGAAAGACCAAAGCUCUCACUCUCUCCCCACCAUGGGAGGACACAGCAAGAAGGCAGCUAUCUGAUAACCAGGAAGAGGGCCCUCACUAGGAACUGACUGCCAGCACCUCAACCUUGAUCUUUCCAUCCUCCAGAACUGUGAGAAAUAAAGUUUUGUUGUCUAACCCACCCACAGUAUUUUUUACAGAGGCCUGAGCUAAGAUACUUCUUAGUUACGCAUUUUCACCCUCUUCGCCCUUAAACAGCACCUCUGCUGGUCAGGUGGCCUAACUUUGGAAGACUCAGACCUUCAUCUGUGACAGUUCUAUAGUCACAGUCGCUAUGCCUUCUCAGGUCCUGGCUGCUGUAUUAUUACAUUGAUUCUCAAAGUUGUACAAGAGAAUAUCAAAAGACACCAAAGUGGAUUAAGAUUAGUUACUGUUAAAAAUAUUCCUCCUGCUUUACGUUCUACAAGAGCUCUACCUUUUUCCGAAGUUCAGAUCAAUUAUCCCUAUCAGGAUAGUGACUUCUCUUCAAGUCACUUGGGAAAAGUCCCCUGAAGUACACUGGAAGAAGCCAUAACUUAAGUUCAUUGAAAUUUUUGCAGUGUCCCAGAGUCGAUGUAUUCUACCUUUGUCGACCAGAACUUCUCCAUCAUACAGUCCAAACUUGUGGGUCUGGAAAGCACAAACUCUGUAAAUGAGAAACUGGUGAUGAUGUUAAGUAAGUUAUUUAUAUUUUAAGUCCCUGAUUUUAGACUCAUGUAUUUUACCUACUCGGAAAAAAUCAUAUUAUGGUUGUUGAUUUAGAAUACACAUCCUAAAAAGUGACAUCCCAUCUUUGUAUGGUCUCAUGUCUGAGCUAGGCAUCCCACUGAAAUCUUUAACUUAACAUGCCAUUGUUCCACUACGCACCACCCAGCAGCUAAUUGGUCUCCACGCAGAAUGGUGCUAUUAGGGGGACUCAGUGAUUGUCUUGUAUGUAUGGACAUCAUGCAGUAACAGGAGAUAAAUUUGUGUUGGAGACAGGGAACCCAUGCUACUGAAUUUAUGCAUAGUCUUCCUUACAUCACCAUGGUUACCAUGUCUACAUGCACCUCAUGCUCACACUUGGGUUGCGUGAUGGUUAAUAUUGAGUGUCAACUUGAUUGGAUUGAAGGAUGCAAAGCAUCGUUCCUAGGUGUGUCUGUGAGGGUAUUGCCAAAGGAGAUUAACAUUUGAGUCCGUGGACUGAGAAAGCCAGAUCCACAAUCAAUCCGGGUGGGGACAAUCUAAUCAGCUGCCAGCAUGGCCAGAAUAAAAGCAGACAGAAACACGUGGAAAGACCAGACUGGCUAAGCCUUCUGGCCUCCAUCUUUCUUCCAUGCUGGAUGCUUUCUGCCCUUGAACAUCAGACUCCAAGUUCUUCAGCUUUUGGAUUCUUGGACUCACACCAGUGAUUUGCCAGGGGCUCUUGGGCCUUCCACCACAGACUGAAGGCUGCACUAUCAGCUUCCCUACUUUUGAGGUUUUGGGACUCGGACUGGCUUCCUGGCUCCUCAGCUUGAAGACAACCAAUGGUGGGACUUCACCUUGUGAUCCUGUGAGUCAUUUCUCCUAAUAAAUUCCCCUUCAUAUAGACACUAUCCUAUUAGUUCUGUCCAUCUAGAGAACCCCGACAAACAUGGGUUGCUAUCAACUGGACAAAUCAUUGCCAACUAAGUUUUUUAGUGCUUCAGCACUUCUACCAUAGUUAGUGUGCACUAAUGAAUGCAAACAUUUGUAUUACCUAAUACAUGGUCUGGUACAGCAUCCUCAGAUGUGAACUAUGCUGCCUCCUGUAUCCAAAAAGGACUACCAAAUGUUGUACUUCCAUCUUAUUGCAGUGCAGUAAGAAAUAUUUUGUCCUUUAUUUUGUAGAUGUCCCAUCAUGCCCUCAACCACAAAACACCUAAAUUUUACGGUUAUAAUCGCUGUCAGUGGUUGUACGUUGAUAUUCUAUUGUUCCAGCACCAUUCUUUUCCUAUUAAAUUACACUGGCAAAUUUGAUUAAAAAAAACAACUGACUAUAUAUGCUUGUAAACAUUUCCAGAUUAUGUUAUUCUUUUAAUCUAAAUAUGUGUCCUUAUGCCAAUACCCCACUCCAUCUAUUACUGCAGUGUAUGAUAAGUCUUGAAAUCUAGUAGUGUAAGUUCUUCAACGUUGCCCUUAAUUUUUAAAAUCACUCUUGCUAUUUAAAAUUGUUUGUAUUACAUGGAAAUUUUAUAAUCAGCUUGCCAAUUUCUACAAAAGUCCUGCUGAGAUUUUAAUUGGUAUUUUGCUUGUUCUGCAGCUUAAUGCAAGAAAAUUAUCUUAACAAUAUUGAAUUUUUCAAUCUAUUAACAUGUUAUAUAUUACUGUUUACUUAGGAUUUUUUCACUUUUCCUGCCUUGUUUUGAACUGAUAUUGUGGUUUUAAGUAAUUUUUUUUAUUUCUACUAUUGGCUUAGUAACUAUGCCCCACUUUUUGAUUUUGUAGCACAGUUGACCAUUGAACAACACAAGUUUGAAUUGUGCAUGUCCAAUUGUCUAUGGAUAUUUUUCAAUAAAAGUUACACUGAGUGCAUCAGCCUCUCUCCUUCUUCUCCUUCUACCUCCUCCAACUGUUCCACCUCUGCCACCCCAAAACAGCAAGAACAACCCCUCCCUUCCUCCUCCUCCUCCUCAGCCUACUCAAGGUGAAGCUGAUAAGAUCUCAUCAGAUGAAGGAUAAAUAAACGUGUCUCUCAAAGCCAUCUUUAUUCGAAGAAGUUUCCUUCGCACUACAAAUCUAAAGUUCUUUCUACGAACAUCUUGUAUGAAUUGAUACCUGAUUAAGCGCAUCUAACUACGUAUUUGUAUAUGUGUCUCAUUGCCUCAUAAAAAUCCAGAAGUCUUUAAAUGUGAUUCAAAACCAACAAAAAAUCAAAUAAACAUUUAAAUAAAUUAGUGAGAAAAUGUGAUGUAGCAAGUAAUAAAGAGUAAAAUGUGAACUGCCUAUCUAAAACAGGAUAAAACUGAAAAUGUAUUUAAGAAAAUAAUAUUUUAACAGCUUUUAAGGGAUAGAAAUUUUCUGCUAACUAGAGAUACUUAUAAAUUUAUUUAUUUGUACUCCUAUGAUCCAUAAAACUGAAAUCUGCAUUCCUUAAGCUAAAAAGAGACAAUAGGGCAUUAAAAUGCUA